rnacentral:rRNA from 1 species
GAUGAACGCUGGCGGCGUGCCUAAUACAUGCAAGUCGAGCGAACAGAUGAGGAGCUUGCUCCUCUGACGUUAGCGGCGGACGGGUGAGUAACACGUGGAUAGCCUACCUAUAAGACUGGGAUAACUUCGGGAAACCGGAGCUAAUACCGGAUAAUAUAUUGAACCGCAUGGUUCAAUAGUGAAAGACGGUUUUGCUGUCACUUAUAGAUGGAUCCGCGCCGCAUUAGCUAGUUGGUAAGGUAACGGCUUACCAAGGCAACGAUGCGUAGCCGACCUGAGAGGGUGAUCGGCCACACUGGAACUGAGACACGGUCCAGACUCCUACGGGAGGCAGCAGUAGGGAAUCUUCCGCAAUGGGCGAAAGCUUGACGGAGCAACGCCGCGUGAGUGAUGAAGGUCUUCGGAUCGUAAAACUCUGUUAUUAGGGAAGAACAAAUGUGUAAGUAACUAUGCACGUCUUGACGGUACCUAAUCAGAAAGCCACGGCUAACUACGUG